ACUCCUACGGGAGGCAGCAGUGGGGAAUAUUGCACAAUGGGCGCAAGCCUGAUGCAGCCAUGCCGCGUGUAUGAAGAAGGCCUUCGGGUUGUAAAGUACUUUCAGCAGUGAGGAAGGUGGGUAUGUUAAUAGCAUACUCAUUUGACGUUUAGCUGCAGAAGAAGCACCGGCUAACUCCGUGCCAGCAGCCGCGGUAAUACGGAGGGUGCGAGCGUUAAUCGGAAUUACUGGGCGUAAAGCGCAUGCAGGUGGUUUGUUAAGUCAGAUGUGAAAGCCCGGGGCUCAACCUCGGAAUUGCAUUUGAAACUGGCAAACUAGAGUACUGUAGAGGGGGGUAGAAUUUCAGGUGUAGCGGUGAAAUGCGUAGAGAUCUGAAGGAAUACCGGUGGCGAAGGCGGCCCCCUGGACAGAUACUGACACUCAGAUGCGAAAGCGUGGGGAGCAAACAGGAUUAGAUACCCUGGUAGGCUCU
rnacentral:rRNA from 1 species